UCUGUUUGCUUUAGAUACUGGAGUGCUCCAGUGCUGUGCUUUGCCUUUUGCAGGCAUUGAAUCUCUUCUACCAGCCAUGGAGACACCCCCUUCAGUCAGGGCAAAAUGAUAAAUCAGAGUCACAUUCCUGGAUCUUGUGCAUUGUUGCAAGGAAGGGAGAACUCACCAUGAUUCUUAUCAAUGAAUGAAAAAGUUGCAAGUUUUUACACCCGUUUUGGCUACUGGCUUUAGGUGUAUAUAGAAGACUACAUCUCCUGCCAUCCGUACUUGUACUCUCCUGUUUCCUUCACAAGCUGAACACAGGGAGGCGAUGCUUCUUUCAUACUCUUACAGUGUCCCCUCAUUACAACAGGAUAUCUCGCAUGUCUUGAAGGUCUGCUGCCUACACAGCGUUUUCCUCGUCUCACCAUGAGAUUACAAAUGGUGACUGAAAUGAGUAACUCGACUCCCAACUGAUUAGUCAGUCUUUUAAAACGGAAGCAGAAGACUUCCCCCCCCCCAGAACCACGUUGCACAGGAGACCAAACAUGAAAAAGGAAAUUGGGGACAAGCAGUCUGAAAAACUGCGUUUGAGACAUACGUCCCACAUAACCACACGCUUUUGCCAGACAGACUCAAAUCUGGUCUUACGCACUGUCGCCUGGUAUGAAAAAAAGGCAGCUUAUUUAGUGAAGUUCAUUACACAUUUUGGAACUAUAUUUUUUCCAAUCAUCACACCCCAUGUCAUUUUCUAAAGAGAAAAAGAAUAUCCCCACACUAUUCUUCUAGUGUGAUCAGUUGUAGCUCGCGCUAGAUCUUAAAGCAAAUAGAUUGUGCGUUUUCAGUAGAUGCUAUUCAGGUUUUUAUGAAAAUAGCACUCCCUGAACUACUUUAACAAAUGUAGGUACACUUAAAUUGGGGAAAAAUAUGCUCUACCUUAUGUUAAAGAUGUGACCAAAUGGAUUUUUAACUCGGUUACUCAAGCAUUUGGAUCUAAGGCUUUUAUAGAGCUUAUUACUGAAAGAAACAUUUCCAAGGUAUUUAAAUGUCAUUCUUUAAAAUGCAUUCGUUAUGGUAAUGAAUUCAUUAUAAGCCCAAACCUAGCCAUAUAGUGGUGAUUCAUGAACUCAAAAGAUAGUACAUAUAAGAAUGUGUAAAACUUCUUGAAUUGUAAUUCAAACUUUUUAAAGUUCUAAAAUGAAAUUAUUCACAUGUGACAGUUGGACAGUGAGACAUAAUGUUUAGAGAAUGGGGAGUAAGUAUUUACUUAUUUUGCCAGAUUAAAAGUUGUUGUUGUUUAAAAAAAAAAAAAGAAGAAGAAGAAGAAAGAAAAACACUUCAGUGAAGCUAAAGGGUUUUGGAUAAAUGAAAUGCUCAGAUUAAAAUAUUUAAUGGGAAAAAAAGGCAAAGUUUGAAAGCGAAGAGUAAGGGGGAAACAAGGAAUAAGGGGGAUUAUAUUCCAAUCAGAAAAUGAGGCAAACCUCCCAUCUACUUUCCUCUGGGGAAUACAUUCAGGACUGUAAAAGGUGUGGUUUUAUGGUGGUAGGUAAGUUCUGAGUCUCAAUAAAAAUCCAAAUUUUCAAGGAAGAGAGAAGCACUUCAGUGUUAGUUCUUGGAGUCUGAAGCCAAUGCCAUCCUCAAUGCCAUUUCAAAGCCAAUUUCUCAAUGCCAUUGAGAAAUUUAGGAAAUUUCUUCUCUCUCCUUUGUCAUGAAGUCUUUGGAUAUUCUGUCUUUUCUCCCUUAGUGUGAUGUUUGCCACAGGCAGAAUCUGUACUACCUAUGGAAGGGUGUAAUUCAUUGCCUACCUGAACAGUUGCAUGUGUCAGUUUGGAGAAAUACAAUUUAGUGCUUAUCUCUGACAACAAAAAUGAAUAAGAAAAAAAAGAAUACUAAAUUGGUGUGGGUUUUAAUCCUAUUCACGUCUAUAAAUUCCAGUUAAGUUUACCGGCUUUUGCUUUGGGCACAACUACAUGCAAUCCUAAAGAAAAUUUCAAACAGUCAUCAUUGUCCUCUAUUUGUACAUAACCUUAAAAUUAUGUGUGUGCUUUCUCCUAUAUAUUAAGCUAGCAUGACAUGUUCAUCUUGACAGUUUUAUAUUAAAUCCAUAGUUCAUUUUCUCACCUCAGAUCAUGAGAUAAAGCCUGGGUAAUGAAACUUAGCUGUAGCUGGUGAGCCCCCUGACUUCACUUCAAUGGGAUCUGGAAAAACAUAACUCUGGGAGAGCUCCUUAAUCAAGCACAUUCAUCAUUGGUCUGAUUUUCAAGUUCUUGCAAACGCUGUUGACAGUGAACCAAUACAGCUGCCAGAAGCUUAAGACUGUUUCUGGCUGUUAAUAGCAACCGGUGCGUGUCAUAGAAUAACUGUCCAACAACUGGGGUGUGCUGGGUUUUCUCUUUUAGAGAACAUUAUUUUAUUAGUGUUAGUGCACUCAGCUUGCAUUAAAAAGGAUUUAUUGGUGGAAAAAGAGAUAUCUGGCACAACCAUACCAUCUUGUGUGCAUCACGAAUAACAAUAAAACGAUGAAGGGUUCUGCUGUAGUCCACAUGAGUAGUCAUGAGAUUGAAAAGGUUUACAAUGGAUCCUACCAUAAUUUUAGGCCUCAAAUCACACAUCUCAAACGAUGAGAUUAUAGAGUGUUUGAAAAAUAAUUGCAAUAGAAAUUUUCAUAAUAGAUUCAGAGAGUUUUAAAAGCAAAAGAGAGCUUAGUAACCUGGUUUGACCUGCUGCAAAAGAAAGGCUUUAGAAUGACGAGCAUAUAAAACACUUCUGUUUGUUAUCCAGUCUUGAUUUGAACUCUCAGUAUGUCUGACAUGUCUCCAAGUGGAGCUGUUUUCACCAAGAAGUGUCUCAUCAUCAUUUGAAGUUGUUUUGCUUUUGUUUUGUCUCCAUUAGCAAAUCUGUUCCUUGAUGAAUACAUUAAAGGUUAUUUUCCUUAUUCUUUUCCUAGAAGACA